UACGAAGGGGGCUAGCGUUGCUCGGAUUCACUGGGCGUAAAGGGUGCGUAGGUGGUUGAAUAAGUUUGAUGUGAAAUCUCCGAGCUUAACUCGGAAACUGCAUUGAAUACUGUUUGACUAGAGGAUUGGAGGGGGGACUGGAAUUCUCGGUGUAGCAGUGAAAUGCGUAGAUAUCGAGAGGAACACCAGUGGCGAAGGCGAGUCCCUGGACAACUCCUGACACUGAGGCACGAAAGCUAGGGGAGCAAACAGG
rnacentral:rRNA from 1 species